CAGCCGCCGCGGGAAUACGAAGGGGGCUAGCGUUGUUCGGAUUUACUGGGCGUAAAGCGCACGUAGGCGGACUUUUAAGUCAGGGGUGAAAUCCCGGGGCUCAACCCCGGAACUGCCUUUGAUACUGGAAGUCUUGAGUAUGGUAGAGGUGAGUGGAAUUCCGAGUGUAGAGGUGAAAUUCGUAGAUAUUCGGAGGAACACCAGUUGCGAAGGCGGCUCACUGGACCAUUACUGACGCUGAGGUGCGAAAGCGUGGGGAGCAAACAGGAUUAGAUACCCCAGUAGUCCUGUCUCUUAUACA
rnacentral:rRNA from 1 species